rnacentral:rRNA from 1 species
GACGAACGCUGGCGGCGUGCUUAACACAUGCAAGUCGAACGGAAAGGCCUUUUCGGAGGUACUCGAGUGGCGAACGGGUGAGUAACACGUGGGUGAUCUGCCCUGCACUCUGGGAUAAGCCUGGGAAACUGGGUCUAAUACCGGAUAGGACCGCACUUUAGUGUGUGUGGUGGAAAGUUUUUUCGGUGUAGGAUGAGCCCGCGGCCUAUCAGCUUGUUGGUGGGGUAAUGGCCUACCAAGGCGGCGACGGGUAGCCGGACUGAGAGGUUGGUCGGCCACAUUGGGACUGAGAUACGGCCCAGACUCCUACGGGAGGCAGCAGUGGGGAAUAUUGCACAAUGGGCGCAAGCCUGAUGCAGCGACGCCGCGUGGGGGAUGACGGACUUCGGGUUGUAAACUCCUUUCGCCAGGGACGAAGCGUUUUGUGACGGUACCUGGAGAAGAAGCACCGGCUAACUACGUG